AAGUCGUAACAAGGUUUCCGUAGCGGAAGGAUCAUUAACACGUAUCCAACGUUAAACAACCCUGUGAACUUUAAGUCCCCUCUUGAGGAACAGCAAUCCCGGUUGCCAAACAGUUUUGAUUCGGGACCUCUGUCCAAAAGGAGUUGCAAUCGAAGGGUGGAAGCAGUGGCAUGGCUUCCCCAAGCAGUUAGUGAAUGACAGUGUCACUGACUGUGUAAGGAUAACGCCUCACGGUUGCUAGAGGUCGAUCACCGACCGGCAGACAUGUCACAGGGUCACCGCCCCGCCUAGUGGUAACGCGCUAGGUAAAAAAAACCGAACAACUGUUAACAAUGGAUAUCUUGGUUCUC
rnacentral:misc_RNA from 1 species